GGCGGCGGCGGGUAGGGAUUCGGUUCCCCAUCGGCAGCUCUGGAGGAUCCAAGAAACGAAGGCAAGGGUUAGAAGACUAGAGAUCCAGCAAAUUUUUGGGGAAAAAAAAAGAAAGAAAAGAUUCUUUGGUGGUUUCCCUCCUCGAUCUACCUGGGCUUGAAGAGGAACGAUUGCAGGGUGGUCUGGCCGCCGGACGAUCGGAUUCUGCUCGGCGGCGUCAGCAUGAUCGUCUUCUCUUAUGUUGAAUGUUACUUUCCUGGAGCGAGCCGUGAUAGCAGCUUCAGUUCUGUUGAUUACUCGAGACCCUUCACGGACCAAGUUAUGACCAACUGCAGCAGCAGAUUUACUAACAGAAGAAUCCCCAGCAGCG